CUCUUAUGGCUGGAGAUUGCAGGUUUAUGACUGAUCCUAUUUGGGAAGAACAAUGAUGGCAGGCAUUCGAGCUUUAUUUAUGUACUUGUGGCUGCAGCUGGACUGGUGAGCAGAGGAGAGAGUGUGGGGCUGCAUCUUCCUACCCUGAGUGUCCAGGAGGGUGACAACUCUAUUAUCAACUGUGCUUAUUCAAACAGCGCCUCAGACUACUUCAUUUGGUACAAGCAAGAAUCUGGAAAAGGUCCUCAAUUCAUUAUAGACAUUCGUUCAAAUAUGGACAAAAGGCAAGGCCAAAGAGUCACCGUUUUAUUGAAUAAGACAGUGAAACAUCUCUCUCUGCAAAUUGCAGCUACUCAACCUGGAGACUCAGCUGUCUACUUUUGUGCAGAGAGUGAAUUCAGGAUACAGCACCCUCACCUUUGGGAAGGGGACUAUGCUUCUAGUCUCUCCAGGUACAUGU
rnacentral:lncRNA from 1 species